rnacentral:rRNA from 1 species
AUGGUAGGAUAGAGGCCUACCAUGGUUUUAACGGGUAACGGGGAAUUAGGGUUCGAUUCCGGAGAGGGAGCCUGAGAAACGGCUACCACAUCCAAGGAAGGCAGCAGGCGCGCAAAUUACCCAAUCCCGACACGGGGAGGUAGUGACAAUAAAUAACAAUAUGGGGCUCUUACGAGUCUCGUAAUUGGAAUGAGUACAAUUUAAAUCUCUUAACGAGGAACAAUUGGAGGGCAAGUCUGGUGCCAGCAGCCGCGGUAAUUCCAGCUCCAAUAGCGUAUAUNAAAGUUGUUGCAGUUAAAAAGCUCGUAGUUGAAUUUCGGGGUUCAUCCGUUGGUCGGGCUUUUUUGGUCUGUACUGGCGUGAUGGAUUCCUACCUUCUGAGUAACCAGCAUGUCAUUAAUUUGGUGCGCUGGGGAAGCAGGACUGUUACCUUGAAAAAAUUAGAGUGCUUAAAGCAGGCUAUCGCCUGAAUACAUUAGCAUGGAAUAAUGAAAUAGGACGGCAUGGUUCUAUUUUGUUGGUUUCUAGGAUCACCGUAAUGAUUAAUAGGGAUAGUUGGGGCAUUAGUAUUCAAUUGUCAGAGGUGAAAUUCUUGGAUUUAUUGAAGACUAACUUCUGCGAAAGCAUUUGCCAAGGAUGUUUUCAUUAAUCAAGAACGAAGGUUAGGGGAUCGAAGACGAUCAGAUACCGUCGUAGUCUUAACCAUAAACUAUGCCGACUAGGGAUCGGACGAUGUUAAUUUUUUAAUGACUCGUUCGGCGCCUUACGGGAAACCAAAGUGUUUGGG